UUCUUCCUUAAAUGUUUGAGAAAAAUAUAUUUAUGAAGUCAACCAGACUUGGAGUAAUGUUCGAGAAAACAUUCAUUUUUACUUCUCUUCUAGGAUUUUUUAUACUGUGCUUUCUGAAGGAAUUUGUUCACAUAAAACAUUUUUGAAAAAAAUUAAUUGCUAAGUUAUUAUCAACUUAUGUGUAUCAAACAGUAUCAAUUUAUUCUUUCUAUAUCUGUGAAUAUGAAGUACUGUUUUAUUUUUUAUUCAUAAUAUUGGUAGCCUGGGUUUUCCCUCUCUUAGUUGUCUUUCUGUGAUUUUCUUCCUAUUUUGCUACUCUAUUUUCAAAAACCAUCUUUUAUACUGUUAACUUUCUCCACUAUAUUUCUGCUAAAUUACUGAAUUGUGCUUUUUGUUUUACUGUUUUCCUUCAUUAUUUUUGCCCUAUUAUUUAUUUAUUCAUUGCUUCAUACACUGGCAGUUUAUAUUGUUUUUCAUUAGAAUGAAUUUACUUAUUAUGACAGUUUUAGGUUUAUAAAAAAAUUGUGAGGAUAGUACAGAGAGUUCACACAAACUGUGUACACAGUUCAUCUCAUUUUUUAGUACUGUAAUUAGUGAGGUAAAUUUGUUACAAUUAAUGAAGCAUUACUGAUACAUUAUUAAAGUCUUUACUUUAUUCAUAUCCCUUUAGCAAAUGUUAAGGAUUAUUCUUUGUGCUGUAAAUUUCCAUGGGGCUUUAUAAAUGUAUAAUCUCAUGUAUUCAUCACUACAGUUACCUUAUAGAAUAUUUCAUCAUUUUAAAAUAUCCCCUGUAAUUCAGUUAUUCUUCCCUUUAUCCCCCUAAACACAUGGCAACCAAUGGUCAUUUUACUCUCUCUCUCUCUUCUUCCAUAAUAUCACACAACUGUAAUUGCAUAAAAUGCAGCCUUUUCAGACUGCCUUUCUUCUAAUUUUAGCAGCAAGUACUAAUGACUGACUCACCUAUGCAUAUUUAUAACCUGACAGUGAAUAUAAUUUUACCACUGAAUAUCCUAUUGUAUGGGUUUAUCACAGCUUGUAAACUCACCCAUUGAAGGCCAUUUUAUUGCUUCCAGUUAGUUUUUUGGUGAUUAUGAGUAAAGCUUCUCUAAACAUUUGUGUUAAGGUUUUUAUGUAUAUAUAUUUUUAAGUUGGGGAAAUACCUAGAGGGAGAAGCACUGAAUAAUAUGGUAAGAUUAUGCAUGUGUUUACCUUUUAUUGAUUUUCAAAUUACCUUGUAAAGUAUCUGUACUACUUACAUUUCCCGCAGCAAUAAUGAGUUUACUGUUUUCUAUAUCCAUGCCAGCAAUGGUAUUGUCAAUUUUUGAAUUUUAGCCAGUGCAAUAGGUUUUGAAAAUAAUUGCUGGUAUUUUCAUUCAAAUUGCCUAAUGAUGAAACAUGUAAGCAGGUUUUCAUAUGCUUCACUUGUUGAAAAAAAAUUAUUUUUGCCUUGGCUCCUCUGUCAGAUAUUUGUUGGUGAUAAAUGUUUGAGUCUAUUUUGUAACUCUGUUUUAUUUUCCAUCAAACUGUGUGCCUAGUUUUUCACCAAGACCUUACUGUCAAUAUUAAUACAGCUUUAGGCUAAGUCUUGAAAUUGAGUAGUGUUAAGUCCUUCAACUUUGAUCUUCGUCUUCAUUACUGUUUUUGCUAUUAUCACUUUGUGCCUCUACAUAAAUAUUUCAGAAUAACGUUGUCAAAGAACCUUAUUAAGAUAUUGAGAUUGCACCAAUCUACAGAUGAAAAUAGGAAGAAAUAACAUUUCAACAAUAUUAACUAUAUUGAGUCUUCUAGUACAUGGACAUGGGAUUUUUUUUUUUUUAGGGCUACACCCAUGGUAUAUGGAGGUUCCCAGGCUAAGGGUCCAAUUGCAGCUUCAGCCACCAGCCUACACCAGAGCCACAGCAUCACAGGAUCUUAGCUGCAUCUGCAAACUACACCACUGCUCAUAGCAAUGACAGAUCCUUAACUCACUAAGCAAGGCCAGGGAUUGAACGUGCAUCCUCAUGGAUAUUAGGUGGGUUUGUUAACUAGUGAACCACAAUGGGAACUCCGGACAUGGGGUAUCUUUCCAACUAUUUAGACAUUCCUUAAUUUAUUUCAUCAGAAUUUUCUAAUUUUCUUAAUAAAUAAUUUGUUAGAAUUAUACCUAUUAAUUUCUCUUUUGGUGCCAUUGUAAUAUAUUUAUUUUUAACUUAUAAUUCCUGUUACUCAUUGUUGGUAUAUACAAAAAGAAAUUUAUUUUUAUAUAUUAAUUUUAUAUCAUGCAACCAUGCUAUAAAUAUUUUGUUUUGUUACAGAGUAGGUGGUAUUACACACUAUUUCUUUAAGAUAGUCUACAUGAACAAUCAUUGCAUCUGUGAACAAAGAUAGUUUAAUUUUUAUUUUAUUUUCCUGUCUUAUUGUAAUAUCUAGUAUUUCCAGUAUGAUUUUUAACAGUAUCAGUGAAAAAGGGCAUUGCUUUUUACCCAUCUUAAUGGGAAAGUUCUAGUUUCUGACCAUCUAUUAUAAUGCUACCUAUAGUACUUUGUUUUGUUUAGAUUUUUUAAAAUCAAUUUGUGAGAGUUCUAUUCAUUCCUGAGAGUUCUUAUCAUCAAUUUGUCUUGGAUUUUGUCAAAUUAUUUCUCAAUAUCAACUAAUAGGACUUUUCUUUUUUAGUCUGUUUUUAUGGUUGUAUACUUGGACUGAUUUUCAAAUAAUAAUAUUCCACCAAAUUGGAUAUGGCUCUUAUGCCUUGGAAAGUAGGUUUUUGUUGAUGAAUGCUCCUGGCAUAGUUCUCGUCCCGUUGCCAGGGUCAUAAGGGACUCUUAUUUUGCUCUUUGCCAUACUAAAAUAAUGUGUCCUUGACGCAAAAUACACAAAAGAAUCCCCUUCCUCAAGACUGUGCCCAGCAGACAUUUCUCACCCUUAAGCUGGUACAACACUCAGACUCUAGCAAUUUAUCAAAACUACCAUUUAAAGUUUUUUAUCAGUUUAUGGUUUCAAAAUCUGAUCUAAGCUAGUUUUGGCUAUAGCUCUACAUUUACCUGUCUCUCCAAUUUUCAGGUUGAUAGUUUGUCCUACAAGUUUAGUUCUCUGAUUUGUCCAAGAUAAGUCACUGAUUUUCAGUUUGUUCAUGUUUUUUUUCUAAGAGUGGGAGUGACAAUUUUCAAUCCAUUUAAAUGUGAGAGCUGAAACCUCCAGUGUAGAUCAUUGAUUUAUAUUGUUUGUCCCCUUCUUAUAAAAGCAUUUGAAACCAUAAAUUUCCCUCUAUACAGUAAUGAAUCACAGUCCUCAAGUUUUGAGAUAUUAUACUUUCAUUAUCAUUCAAGUCAAGAGAUUUUUAAAGCUACUGUAAUUACUAUUUUCUUUAAUCCAUGGAAUAUUUACUGAUGUACUGCUUAAUUUCUAGCCAUUUUCUAAUUGCUUUAACAUUACUGAGCCCUAAUGUGUUGAAGGAAAUUGUUCUAUAUUAUUUCAAGCCUUUGGAACUUAUUGAAUGUUUCUACACCAUAAUGUUAUCAAUUUUAAUCACUGUUCUAUGUGUAAUUUAAAGGCAUGAAUUACAGCAAUUGUUGGAUAUGCCAACUAUUUCAAGUGAGUUAUUUUUUUUUUUUUUUUUUUUUGUCUUUUUGCCAUUUCUUGGGCCACUUUCACUACAUAUGGAGGUUCCCAGGCUAGAGGGUGAAUCAGAGCUGUAGCCACCGGCCUACGCCAGAGCCACAGCAAUGAGGGAUCCCAGCCGUGUCUGCAACCUACACCACAGCUCACAGCAACACUGGAUCCUUAACCCACUGAGCAAGACCAGGGACCGAACCCGCAACCUCAUGGUUCUUAGAUUCGUUAACCACUGCGCCACGAAGGGAACUCCCCAAGCUAAUAUUUUUUUAUUCAAAUCUUCUAUAUCAUUGAUGAUACAGUUUGAUCUAUUGGUUAUUGAGAAAAUACAUUAAUAUCUUUGAGUAUGAUGUAUGAUUUGUGAUUUCUCUAGCUUUAUGAGAUAGAUAGAGCUAUAUAAUAAAUUGUAUAUCCUUUUGAAAUUAUAACUUCCUCCAUCAAUGCAAACGAUUACUCUUUAUCUCUUAUAAAAUUUCUUGCCUUCAAGUUUAACUUUUAUGUUAAUAUACCCACACCACUUUUGAUUUUUAAGUAUGUGCAUAAUAUUUACUUUUGCAUUCUUUUACAUACAAAGUUUCUGUUUCCUUAUAUGAAGUUUUGUCCUCUUAAGAGCACACAUUUCAUCUUUUUUUUUUUUUUUCACAAAAAGAUUGCAGACAUUGUCCUUUAUUUGUAUUGUUUAGAGCUGACAUGGCUGAUCAAACUUUGUUUUUGACAUAUCCGUAGGAUGGUUUAACCAGGACAUUUACAUACUGACCUUUAUAUAAAUUCCCCAGCUUUUAACUUUGCCCAGAGUUUCCCACCUCCAUUCUUUGUGCUUAAUUACAAAGGAACAUUUGCUGCUUUAAAUUUCCUCUUAUCAGAACAUCUGACAGUUUGUUAGGUGUCAGGGCCUUCUUUCUAACAGGUUUUAGUAUCCCCCUUCUUGACACAGCCACCCUCCCAAGGCCUCUGUCCAUAAAAAGUCUGCUGACCCACCCCUUCCCUGAGACUUACCUGACUUUUUCUUUCAGCAUCUCCUUACUGGCAAUCUUUAUCCUCUCUCUAGUGUAAUAGUCUUUCCCAGUGAAGUCUCUCCUUACAUAAGUCCAGUUUUUAUUUUUUACUUAACAGGGCACUUCUUUUAGUAAAACCAUUGACAUAAGAGGCUUUAGUCUAUCACUUUGCCAUUUGUUUGUUAGUAGCUCUAUCUGCUUUUUUUACUUAUAUUUUACCCUGUUUAUUACAUAUUAUUCAGUUUUUAUCCUGUACUAAAUUUUAUUUUACCUUGAUUAUAUAUUAUUAUUGAGUUCUAUUAUAUUCCUGGUUAGAUUUUUAGAUGCUCUGUUCUUUAUUAUUCCUUUAGUAGUUACACAUGUUGAUCAUUCUUUUCUUCAUAUUUAUAUUUUUAUUGCCUUUAAUUACAUUAGCCUGGCACAGUAUCACGACUGAUAUAAAACAAAUUAGCAUCAAAAAUUUAUUUGAAAGUGUAUUUUAGUAAAUGUUAGUAGUAGUAAUAACAGAAGAAGCAGCAACAGCAGCAGCAGUGACAGCAGGAGCCGUAGUAAACAUAAAAAAGGAAUAACAUAUUUGUAGAAGACAUAUGUGACAGGAAUGGGGAAAGUGCUUUAUAUCCAUUAUUUCAUCUAAUAUUCACUAUAAGCUUAAACAUUACUCACAUUUAUAUCCCACAUAUAAGUAAAGAAAUCUGAGGUCUUAACAAGUUGUAUAAUAAUCCAAAUGCCAUAAAAAAUACACCACAAAAAACAGUGUCUGAGCUCAGGUGUAUUGAAGUUCACUUUGCCAAUCAUAAGUAUUUAAUAGCGCAGGUCUAUGGAGACAGAUAAAUAGCCUGAUGAUAAUACUUUUGUUAAAUAUCUAGCAACAAAUAGAAAAGGCCAAUUUCUUAUUGAAAAGGACUGUCUUCAAUUUAACAUUUGAUGAAGCAUUUUCAUACAUAUUAAUCUGCAAUGAGUCAGUAAACACUUCUAAGAAACAAAUGAAAAAAAUCACAAUUGUACAAGCUUAGUUAAUGAAGUGAUUAUGAUGAAAAUGUUUCAAAUGAAUCAUAGUGAAUGAAGCAUUCGGUGAUUUACAGAAAUCCAUGGGCAUUUAAUUAAUGAUAAUCAUAAAUGGCCACAUGUGAACAUCUAAGAUGCAGUAACGAUUUGGAGAUGAAGGUGUUGUAUUGAAGGCAGGCUGAUUGUAUUCAAAUGAGGAUACACAAUGGUUAAGACAGUGGAAUAUUCUAGGAUACUAAGAUUUCAUCUAUGAAGAUGAAAGGUAGUGAGAUACGCCACCACAAAAUAUGCUAUUUUAGUAAAUUGAUUGCUUUAAAAUUACUUAAGAAGCAGUUAGUGCAAAGAAACCCCCCUUUGUCCCCCUGGAAACAGCAACUAAAUCUCCCAUGAGAAAGGUACCCUCACUGUACCAGGAGGUAGAAGUCAUUAUC
rnacentral:lncRNA from 1 species